GCAGCAGCCGCGGUAAUACGAAGGGUGCAAGCGUUACUCGGAAUUACUGGGCGUAAAGCGUGCGUAGGUGGUGGUUUAAGUCCGUUGUGAAAGCCCUGGGCUCAACCUGGGAAUUGCAGUGGAUACUGGGUCACUAGAGUGUGGUAGAGGAUAGUGGAAUUUCCGGUGUAGCAGUGAAAUGCGUAGAGAUCGGAAGGAACAUCUGUGGCGAAGGCGACUAUCUGGGCCAACACUGACACUGAGGCACGAAAGCGUGGGGAGCAAACAGGAUUAGAUACCCCAGUAGUCCCUGUCUCUUAUAC
rnacentral:rRNA from 1 species